UACGUAUGGAGCAAGCGUUAUCCGGAUUUACUGGGUGUAAAGGGAGCGUAGACGGCAAGGCAAGUCAGAAGUGAAAGCCCGGGGCUCAACCGCGGGACUGCUUUUGAAACUGUUUAGCUAGAGUGCAGGAGAGGUAAGUGGAAUUCCUAGUGUAGCGGUGAAAUGCGUAGAUAUUAGGAGGAACACCAGUGGCGAAGGCGUCUUACUGGACUGUAACUGACGUUGAGGCUCGAAAGCGUGGGGAGCAAACAGG
rnacentral:rRNA from 1 species